AAAAGGUGUGUGUGUAAAUUUGUGAAGAAAACUAAAGUCAGAAACAAUAGGAAUAAAUGAGAAGGACCUAGAGGAGAGGAUAAAGAGGACUGAGAGAAACAGUGGAGAUGCUGGAAGUUCCAUCUGGUUAGACAACGUUCCUGUAAAGCUCACAAGAACUGAAAAAUACCUCAUUUAUAGGAGGAGAGGGGGAGUUGCAUCUAGCAAAUGCACAGCCACCAACCAUGGGAUGUGGUAAGCUGCAGCCCGUGAGCAGCAUUUCACCCCCCCUCUGAAGGGAGUCAUUAGUGAGCAAAAACAUCAACCCUGGUUCCGAAGCUGUUUAAAAAAAUUCACCCCAGGUGUGAGGAAACAAUUAAAUGACAAUUUCCUGGGUAGCUUUUCACCUUUCCUAUUUGAUCAGCUGUACAGCACACUGUUUUCUGCUAAAUGCCUUGGACUCACGAAAACCUGGAGACCUCAUAAGAUGUCACAUAUACCAGCAAGAGUAACAGUAUUAUUUCAAAUUUUGGGCUCUUCCCCUGGACAGAUUCAAGCUGGCACUCCAACAGGAAGAAAGCUCUCCAAGAAGCUUAUUGAUUUGAACCACUAUUUCUAUGGAAGUGGUCUAGAAAUAUUACUUUACAUGCACUGUAUCUAUAUUUCCUCUGCAAGCU